rnacentral:rRNA from 1 species
GAUGAACGCUGGCGGCGUGCCUAAUACAUGCAAGUCGAACGAAGAUCUAGCUUGCUAGAUCUUAGUGGCGAACGGGUGAGUAAUACAUAAAUAAUCUGCCCAUAUGACUGGGAUAACUAUUGGAAACGAUAGCUAAUACCGGAUAGGUUGAUUGGAGGCAUCUCUGAUUAAUUAAAGUAGGAUUUCUACACAAAUGGAUGAGUUUAUGGCGCAUUAGUUAGUUGGUGGGGUAACGGCCUACCAAGACGAUGAUGCGUAGCCGACCUGAGAGGGUGACCGGCCACACUGGGACUGAGACACGGCCCAGACUCCUACGGGAGGCAGCAGUAGGGAAUUUUCGGCAAUGGGCGCAAGCCUGACCGAGCAACGCCGCGUGAGUGAUUAAGGCCUUCGGGUUGUAGAGCUCUGUUGUAAGGGAAGAACAUUCAGGAUAGGAAAUGAUCUUGAACUGACGGUACCUUACCAGAAAGCCACGGCUAACUACGUGCCAGCAGCCGCGGUAACAC